GAUGAACGCUGGCGGCGUGCCUAAUACAUGCAAGUCGAGCGAACGGACGAGAAGCUUGCUUCUCUGAUGUUAGCGGCGGACGGGUGAGUAACACGUGGAUAACCUACCUAUAAGACUGGGAUAACUUCGGGAAACCGGAGCUAAUACCGGAUAAUAUUUUGAACCGCAUGGUUCAAAAGUGAAAGACGGUCUUGCUGUCACUUAUAGAUGGAUCCGCGCUGCAUUAGCUAGUUGGUAAGGUAACGGCUUACCGAGGCAACGAUGCAUAGCCGACCUGAGAGGGUGAUCUGCCACACUGGAACUGAGACACGGUCCAGACUCCUACGGGAGGCAGCAGUAGGGAAUCUUCCGCAAUGGGCGAAAGCCUGACGGAGCAACGCCGCGUGAGUGAUGAAGGUCUUCGGAUCGUAAAACUCUGUUAUUAGGGAAGAACAUAUGUGUAAGUAACUGUGCACAUCUUGACGGUACCUAAUCAGAAAGCCACGGCUAACUACGUG
rnacentral:rRNA from 1 species